rnacentral:rRNA from 1 species
CCUACGGGUGGCAGCAGUGGGGGAUAUUGCACAAUGGGGGAAACCCUGAUGCAGCGACGCCGCGUGAGUGAAGAAGUAUCUCGGCAUGUAAAGCUCUAUCAGCAGGGAAGAAAAUGACAGUACCUGACCAAGAAGCCCCGGCUAACUACGUGCCAGCAGCCGCGGUAAUACGUAGGGGGCAAGCGUUAUCCGGAUUUACUGGGUGUAAAGGGGGCGUAGACGGUUAUGUAAGUCUGGAGUGAAAGCCCGGGGCCCAACCCCGGGACUGCUGUGGAAACUGUGUAGCUGGAGUGCAGGAGGGGCAGGCGGAAUUCCUGGUGUAGCGGUGAAAUGCGUAGAUAUCAGGAGGAACACCGGCGGCGAAGGCGGCCUGCUGGACUGAAACUGACGUUGAGGCUCGAAAGCGUGGGGAGCAAACAGGAUUAGAUACCCGUGUAGUC